rnacentral:lncRNA from 1 species
GCAUUCACGAAAGCAAUUUUAUUAGCAUUUGGUUUGAAAAUUAAUUUUUAUAAAUAUCUUAUCUCAUGCUAUCAUUUUUGUAUGUGGCCUACCUCUUCAUUAAAAGCUAUCUAAACAGUGCUGCCUGCCCCCGAUUAAGAAGGUUAACUCGAGGCAAUCUUCUUGAAAAGAAAGACUGUUAUCUUGGGAGAGUUAGAUUGAUUGUGAGCAACUCUAUUUUAGCUGUCUUGCCUUGUUAUUAGAUGUUUGUGUUUAAAAUUCCUAAAUGGAUUGUAAACGGAAGUGAUAAAAAUGGGGAGAACAUUUCUGCGAAAAGAGAAUGAGAGUGUCAGAGGAUUUCAUUGUCUAGUGAACCGGGAUACCAUUUGAAGGUCGAAGGAGAUGGCAGAUAAAGAACACUCGUGAGAUGGACCAGGCUAUAUUGGUUAAGUAGGUAUGGAAAGUCCUGCGCGCAUGGUUCAAGCAACCUGUGGUAGAAACAAAUUAAUUAUGCUUACUACUUGAGAAGGACAUUGGGAAUG